rnacentral:rRNA from 1 species
AUUGAACGCUGGCGGCAGGCUUAACACAUGCAAGUCGAGCGGAGAUGAGGUGCUUGCACCUUAUCUUAGCGGCGGACGGGUGAGUAAUGCUUAGGAAUCUGCCUAUUAGUGAGGGACAACAUUCCGAAAGGAAUGCUAAUACCGCAUACGUCCUACGGGAGAAAGCAGGGGAUCUUCGGACCUUGCGCUAAUAGAUGAGCCUAAGUCGGAUUAGCUAGUUGGUGGGGUAAAGGCCUACCAAGGCGACGAUCUGUAGCGGGUCUGAGAGGAUGAUCCGCCACACUGGGACUGAGACACGGCCCAGACUCCUACGGGAGGCAGCAGUGGGGAAUAUUGGACAAUGGGGGGAACCCUGAUCCAGCCAUGCCGCGUGUGUGAAGGAGGCCUUAUGGUUGUAAAGCACUUUAAGCGAGGAGGAGGCUACUGAGACUAAUACUCUUGGAUAGUGGACGUUACUCGCAGAAUAAGCACCGGCUAACUCUGUGCCAGCCGCCGCCGUAAAAC